GAUGAACGCUGGCGGCGUGCCUAAUACAUGCAAGUCGAGCGAACAGACGAGGAGCUUGCUCCUCUGACGUUAGCGGCGGACGGGUGAGUAACACGUGGAUAACCUACCUAUAAGACUGGGAUAACUUCGGGAAACCGGAGCUAAUACCGGAUAACAUGUUGAACCGCAUGGUUCAACAGUGAAAGACGGUCUUGCUGUCACUUAUAGAUGGAUCCGCGCCGCAUUAGCUAGUUGGUAAGGUAACGGCUUACCAAAGCAACGAUGCGUAGCCGACCUGAGAGGGUGAUCGGCCACACUGGAACUGAGACACGGUCCAGACUCCUACGGGAGGCAGCAGUAGGGAAUCUUCCGCAAUGGGCGAAAUCCUGACGGAGCAACGCCGCGUGAGUGAAGAAGGUCUUCGGAUCGUAAAACUCUGUUAUUAGGGAAGAACAAAUGUGUAAGUAACUAUGCACGUCUUGACGGUACCUAAUCAGAAAGCCACGGCUAACUACGUG
rnacentral:rRNA from 1 species